rnacentral:rRNA from 1 species
CCAAUAGCGUAUAUUAAAGUUGUUGCAGUUAAAAAGCUCGUAGUUGAAUUUCGGGAUCAAUAUAUCGGUCGUGCCAUCGGUACGUACUGGUAUCAUUGGUUUCUCCUUUCUGACGAACCAUGAUGUCAUUAAUUUGGUGUUAUGGGGAGUUAGGACUGUUACUUUGAAAAAAUUAGAGUGUUUAAAGCAGGCUUUAGCUUGAAUACAUUAGCAUGGAAUAAUGAAAUAGGACGUUCGAACCUAUUUUGUUGGUUUCUAGGAUCAACGUAAUGAUUAAAAGGGAUAGUUGGGGGCAUUAGUAUUCAAUUGUCAGAGGUGAAAUUCUUGGAUUUAUUGAAGACUAACUACUGCGAAAGCAUUUGCCAAGGAUGUUUUCAUUAAUCAAGAACGAAAGUUAGGGGAUCGAAGACGAUCAGAUACCGUCGUAGUCUUAACCAUAAACUAUGCCGACUAGGGAUCGGAUGAUGUUAAUUUUUUAAUGACUCAUUCGGCGCCUUACG